UGAAAGACGCGCAUUUGUUAUCAUCAUCCCUGAUUUCAGAGAUGUAUAUUUUGGCCACAGCGAUGUGGCCUUUUUC
rnacentral:sRNA from 1 species